AACGAACGCUGGCGGUAUGCUUAACACAUGCAAGUCGAACGUGAAGGGGACUUCGGUCCCUGGAAAGUGGCGCACGGGUGAGUAACACGUGGAUAAUCUACCCGAUGAUCUGGAAUAACACUUCGAAAGGGGUGCUAAUACCGGAUAAGCUCACGACGUCUUCGGACGACGCGGGAAAAGGGGGCUUCGGCUCCUGUCAUCGGAUGAGUCCGCGGCCCAUUAGCUAGUUGGUAGGGUAAUGGCCUACCAAGGCUACGAUGGGUAGCUGGUCUGAGAGGAUGAUCAGCCACACUGGAACUGAGACACGGUCCAGACUCCUACGGGAGGGAGCAGUGGGGAAUUUUGCGCAAUGGGCGAAGGCCUGACGCAACAAUGCCGCGUGAGUGAUGAAGGCCUUCGGGUCGUAAAGCUCUGUCAGAGGGGAAGAAACUCCCGUCGGUUAAUACCCGGCGGGCCUGACGGUACCCUCAAAGGAAGCACCGGCUAACUCCGUGCCAGCCGCCGCCGUAA
rnacentral:rRNA from 1 species